rnacentral:rRNA from 1 species
GACAACUCUCGGCAACGGAUAUCUCGGCUCUCGCAUCGAUGAAGAACGUAGCAAAAUGCGAUAAUUGGUGUGAAUUGCAGAAUCCCGUGAACCAUUGAGUCUUUGAACGCAAGUUGCGCCCCAGGCCAUACGAUCGAGGGCACGUCUGUCUGUGCGUCACAC